UCUAACAGACUAAAUUGGUUUUACCGUCAAAUCCAACUCUGAACUGAGAUGAUUUAUACAUUAACUUUUAACGUGUUUUAAUCUGUCUUAAAUGUGACGACAAUGAAUCAUGCGUCGAGUUUAGGGAAGUUAAGUGUGUUCAUAGUGUGUUAAGAAAAUGGGACGCUGCAGGGCGAUGUGGAUCUGAGCAUCAUGAGAUAAACCUGGACCUGCUUAAAGUUUAAAGUCACGUAAAUGCAAGAUAAUGACCCAAGACACAAGUCCAAGCUCUGCCAAAACUACCUCAGAAAAAAAGAACAAGAUGGUAAAGCUUGAAAACAUGGAGUGUCCAGCACAGUCUCCAGAUUUAAACCCCAUCGAGCUGGUUUUGGAUGAACUGGACAGAAGAGAGAAAGUCAAACAACCUACAAGUGCCACAUAUUUAUGGAAACUUCAGCAAAAGACUUGGGAAGAACUUUCUGAAAAAAUAUUUGAGAAAGAACGCCACGCUACUUU